rnacentral:rRNA from 1 species
AUUGAACGCUGGCGGCAGGCUUAACACAUGCAAGUCGAACGAGUGGCGGACGGGUGAGUAAUGCUUGGGAAUCUAGCUGAUGGAGGGGGAUAACUACGGGAAACUGUAGCUAAUACCGCGUACCAUCGGCUGAGCCCAUGUGGGAUUAGCUAGUUGGUGGGGUAAAGGCUCACCAAGCCGACGAUCUCUAGCUGGUCUGAUAGGAUGGCCAGCCACACUGGGACGGAGACACGGCCCAGACUCCUACGGGAGGCAGCAGUGGUGAAUAUUGCGCAAUGGGGGCAAGCCUGACGCAGCCAUGCCGCGUGUAUGAAGAAGGCCUUAGGGUUGUAAAGUACUUUCAGCGGGGAGGCGUUACCCGCAGAAGAAGCACCGGCUAACUCCGUGCCAGCAGCCGCGGUAAUAC